AUGCCGUCCACAUGCGAUGCAUGUAUCUGGUUGUUAUGGAAUGUGUGAAACUAUGGAGGUUCCAACUUUAUCUCCACCCUACAAAGAACCAUUGCAUUCUACAUGUAAUUACGAUGAAUUCGAGUUUCAGACAGAACAACUGCCAGACUGCGAUCCUGGCGUAGACCCUACGUAUAUCUACAUAAACGCUGUUUCUUGUGUGUGUAGUGUGCCCUCUUACGAUACGACCAGUUACUACUUUCGUUACUUUCUUCCUCAUAAUGACAAGCGAUAACAAUCGGAGAUCGACCCUGAAUUAAAGAUAUGUAGAUGUAUUUUUGUUUAUUUCGUCACAUCUGAAAGCAGGGAAAUAAGCUGCCAGUGCGUCCCAUGACGUGGCUCAUUCAUGGGUAAUACGUCACCACUAAACACGAAUUCGUCGUCGGUGGAAUUAUGAGGUCUGCGGAGUGAUAAGAAUAAAGAACAUGAAUAACUAUUCUGCGUGAUGUAAAAUAUGUUUUCUGUACUUUUCAGCAAUUAAUGGAGCUUUUUGUGUAUAUUAAAAUCAUAUAUAAACACUUAAACAUAGUGUUUGCAAAAAACGUACGUUCAAACUAUUCCAUGUGGUUUAUAUAUACUUUGGACUAUUAAAGUCGAUGUCGAAGCUAUGUUUACAUGUACAUUUUUAAAACGAGUAGAUCGUAUGGAAGAAGUGCCAAUGAACUUAUAGGGACACUGAGACUGUUGUGUUAUUUAUUAUAUUUCUAUUUAUUUUAAACAUUUUUAGAGGGUACUGCGCAUGUGAUGAUAUCCAAAGUACAAGUAGUUACGAACAUAGCUGUUCAUAAAGACAAACACCGAAUGCGAAUUCAUUUGAAUAAAAUAUUAUUGCAGCAAUGUU